GGCCCCACCCCUCCGCCCCGGGGGCCGGCGGCUGAGAGCCGGGGUCGCCGCCCGGACAGGGCGGCGCCUGUGUGAGGCCGAGGGUCGGCCCCGGCCUGGCGGGAGGAGGGCCGGGGCGGUGGGGCCGCCUCUCUCGCGGAGCCCGGCGCCACCCGCACGCGGCCCCCAGCCCAGCCUAGCACCCACUUCUCCCCGAGGUUGCUGCGAUUUCAUAACCCCGGGGUUUUGGAGAGAACCCGCUUUUGUUCUUCAGGGGCUGAGGUUGCGAUUUCCCUGCAGGUAUUUGAAGGGCACCUGCUAUGCUAGGGGAACCAGGGUGAGCCAUCAGAUGCACAUCUCUGAGCUCCAGCAGCAUGUACCAGGCAGAUGCAGCCCAGAUGAUGAGAGACACCCGCCAUCAAGAGAAUGCACCCUGAGUUGAACCCAGCUACACACUUUGGAAACUAUGAAGGCAGAAGGAGGACAGGGAGGUGGGAGAUGGGUGUCAUCUUACACAGUAGUCAGACUGGGGCAGGCCCCUGUGGGAAGGGAGAUUUGAGUGGGGACCUGAGAAAGUGGGGUGUGUAGGGAGAGUAGGGGUGGUGGAGGGAACGGCAGGUGCAGAGGCCUGGACCUGGAGUCCAUGAAGCUUCCCCUCUUCCUGAGGGGAAGAGAGGGGCAUAAAGCCUGGGCAGCUCUGGCAAGUCUGAAUGUGCUAUCUGGAAGUGUGGCCCCAUCUUGCCAGCGGCCUGAGAAUGGAGCCCCCUGGCAGAGCUGGAAGGAGCAGGACCCUGGUAUUCCCAGGACGUUGUUGACUGCCUGCGUCUCCUGAUUCUGGGGCUCACUGCUUACUGGUCGUUGGAGUUUUGUUUCUUGUCCUCAGAGGCAGCCUAACAUAGGUCAUUAUCUCCCCAAAUCCGGUCAUCUCAGCUGGCAAGUUACAUUAUUGGGCUCUUGAGAAUUCUUCACAUCCAGGUUAUAUAGAGAUUAAAAAUUUCCUUAUUUUACUUUAGUGCUUUGUCCCUAAUGGGUGCAGUAGGCUGUGUCAGUGGCAGGAAACCCAAUUAGCAAUGUGGAUUCUUCGGUGCUCUAGAGUGGGAGGUCUGAGGGAUGUGUUUUUCUGAAGGAUCUGGGCACUCUCUGUCCUGCAUAGCUGUCCUCGAUUGCUUGGUUUUUUAUCUGGUGGCUUCAUGACUGUAGGAUGGUUGCCACAGCUCCACACAUCACAUCCUCACGUGCUGAAGCCAAAGGCAGAUAGUAGGAAAUAGAUUGCCAGUCAAGGUGCACUUGUUCUGGUUUGCUUUUUUUCACCAGAGAAGAAAAAUAUUUUUUAGACUAUCUUCCUUCACGCUGUUCUGCACUUCCCUCCUAUCUCAUUGACCAGCACUGGGCUGCACUAGCAAAUGUGCCUAAGCAAGGCUAGAAAAGUAAGUGUCUGCCUUUUUUUUAGCCCCCAUUGUAGUAGUCUAUUCUAUAAGACAGGAUUAAAUUUAACAGCAUAGAACAAAAACCAAAAUGACAGGACAGAGACAUUUCCUGUGUAAUAGAUGUUGGGGAGCAGUCAUCAAUUUGUGGUUGAUACUGGUGGAUCCAUGAAGUUACUAGGGUGCAAGCUUUCUCUCAAUCCCUACUCCUGCAUCCUGGGUGUUCUCCAAGUCCACAGUAAGCUCUGGCCAUUACCAAGGGCUCCCUUUUCUGGAUUUUUUAAGUCUCACGGGGCAAGAACCCAGUCAUAGUCUUAGUUGCUAAGGAAGAUAGGAAAUGAAGUUUUUGUGUGUCAGAAUAGAAGUCAGGAUUUUGUUGUUAGGGAAGAUUUGUUUUAUGUUGGAGCCUUGGAAGCAGGCAAAUGUUUGCAGAUGCUUUGUGAAGGACCUGCUCCCCGAGAACCCAGUCAGUAACUAGGAAGGUGGCAGAGCAGGGAUUCCGGAGUGGUGGGAAGGGUAGACUCAGCCUGGCCUGCAGGGGCGCUCCAGACUGAAUUACCCACAGACCUGUGUCCUCCAGGGAGGGGCGUGGCCUUCCGUCCUUCCAUGCCCCUCAGUCACUGACUAAUGCCUCUCCUGAGUGAUACAAGGCAUUUCAGCUUUCAGUGGGUAGUGGAAAGGGGGACAAGAAGAGCUCCCUGGCAAGACUGCCAGAACCUCAGGGUGAAGCAAAGCAUGCCAGGCGACAGAGGCAGAUUCGGGGAAGCAGACCUCUGCAGAGCCCCAGUGGGUUGGCCCAGGGGUGAUGAGAGUGAGGGGAGCAGCGCCCUGGAGCUCACAGACAAGGGAGGAGUUCAUGUGCACUGUGUUUACUUUCUUCCGUGUGGGAAGCCGCCUGAGAUGGCGCCCAUUUCCUGCUUCCGGGUUCUUCCCGGCCUGAACAAGCCCGCCAAAUUGUCAUGUCUGCCCAGUUACCCGUGACGCUAGCCUAUCAGCUUGUUAGACGCGCUUCUCUGUGAUUGGAUACUGCUUCCCCUUAUAAGAGGUUGUUCCUGCCCCCAACGGGCGGAAGAGGAACCAACACUGAGGGUGGCGGACCUUGUUAGGUCCGGUUCGCUGUACGCAAUAAAGUUUGAGAGCUGA